AACUACAGAAAGAACGAGCACUUCGAGCACUGUGACCGAGAUCAGGUCUAUUUUAAGUGCUGGGACAGGAGGUACAGAGGACAGGACAUGCGUCCUCAUUACUAAUUUUAGCAACAUCAGUCCCAAACCAGCUGAAGACUCAAGACAAAGCCAGACUCAAAAGAACAUCUGCCUCCAGAAAACCUUCAUCAAAAAUCAACCAUGAGCAAUAACAUCAAUAAAAUUUCAAGUCUUGUGCA